UACGUAGGUGGCAAGCGUUAUCCGGAAUUAUUGGGCGUAAAGCGCGCGCAGGCGGUUUCUUAAGUCUGAUGUGAAAGCCCACGGCUCAACCGUGGAGGGUCAUUGGAAACUGGGGAACUUGAGUGCAGAAGAGAAAAGCGGAAUUCCACGUGUAGCGGUGAAAUGCGUAGAGAUGUGGAGGAACACCAGUGGCGAAGGCGGCUUUUUGGUCUGUAACUGACGCUGAGACGCGAAAGCGUGGGGAGCAAACAGG
rnacentral:rRNA from 2 species